AUGCGCUGUGUCAGCCCUCAGAUGCCCCCAUGGCUCGGCUGGGCUGAAGCUGGGAGGCGGGAACUCAAUCCAGGUCUCAUGGGUGCCAGGAACCCAGCUCCUUGGAUCAUCAUGGCUGCCUCCCAAGGCCCAUUCCAGCAGGAAGCUGGAGUCAGGAGCUGGAGCCAGGCCAACCUCCCAACCAACGUCUUCCCGCUCGGCUGCAAGCUCGUGCUGAAGCGCGUUAACCCGCGUCCUCUGAAAUCGCUCGCUCGUUGGCCGCCCCACACGGCUUCCCGAUUCACCUCCUGCUGUCCGCCCACACCCAGCGCCACGCGCGGUGCCCGUGAGGCGCCCCGCUCCUCGCCCACGCAGGGCCUCCCUGGAAGGGGCUCUGCACAGCCGUUAGCCCCGCCCCAGACCAGCCGUCACUUCCGGCCACGCCCACACCUGAAGACGCCGCGGUCUGCCGGGCGGAGCAUGCUCCCUUGCCUUGGGAACACGUCUGCCCUUGUCGGACUCGUGUCGCCUCCCAGCACCCAGCGCCAUGCCGGGAAGGGAGCAAGCAGCCAACCAGUACUCGGCUCCACCCACACGCAAGCAGGAGCAGCCGCGAGCACAGUUCAGCCAGCGCCGUCACGCCCCUGGCCCUGCGACGGCGCCUGGACAUGGUACCCAUCCGCUCCCCUCAGACCCAGACCCAGACUCCCAAGGACAGGCGCCCCUGGAUCCCCCUGA
rnacentral:lncRNA from 1 species